AACAAACGCUGGCGGCGUGCCUAAUACAUGCAAGUCGAACGGGGAAAGCUUUCGGGUGAGUACUAGUGGCGCACGGGUGAGGAACGCGUGGAUAAUCUGCCUUAGAGUGGGGGAUAACUAGUCGAAAGAUUAGCUAAUACCGCAUAAGACCACGAGAGCUGCGGCUUUUGAGGUCAAAGGUUUUUCGCUCUAAGAUGAGUCCGCGUAAGAUUAGCUAGUUGGUGAGGUAACGGCUCACCAAGGCGACGAUCUUUAACUGGUCUGAGAGGAUGAUCAGUCACACUGGAACUGAGACACGGUCCAGACUCCUACGGGAGGCAGCAGUAGGGAAUAUUGCACAAUGGAGGAAACUCUGAUGCAGCGACGCCGCGUGAGUGAUGAAGGCCUUCGGGUCGUAAAGCUCUGUCGCAGGGGAAUAACACAAUGAAGGUACCCUGUAAGAAAGGAUCGGCUAACUGCGU
rnacentral:rRNA from 1 species